GAUGAACGCUGGCGGCGUGCCUAAUACAUGCAAGUCGAGCGAACGGACGAGAAGCUUGCUUUUCUGAUGUUAGCGGCGGACGGGUGAGUAACACGUGGAUAACCUACCUAUAAGACUGGGAUAACUUCGGGAAACCGGAUCUAAUACCGGAUAAUAUUUUGAACCGCAUGGUUCAAAAGUGAAAGACGGUCUUGCUGUCACUUAUAGAUGUAUCCGCGCUGCAUUAGCUAGUUGGUAAGGUAACGGCUUACCAAGGCAACGAUGCAUAGCCGACCUGAGAGGGUGAUCGGCCACACUGGAGCUGAGACACGGUCCAGACUCCUACGGGAGGCAGCAGUAGGGAAUCUUCGGCAAUGGGCGAAAGCCUGACGGAGCAACGCCGCGUGAGUGAUGAAGGUCUUCGGAUCGUAAAACUCUGUUAUUAGGGAAGAACAUAUGUGUAAGUAACUGUGCACAUCUUGACGGUACCAAAUCAGAAAGCCACGGCUAACUACGUG
rnacentral:rRNA from 1 species